AUUGAACGCUGGCGGCAGGCCUAACACAUGCAAGUCGAACGAGUGGCGGACGGGUGAGUAAUGUCUGGGAAACUGCCCGAUGGAGGGGGGUAACUACUGGAAACGGUAGCUAAUACCGCAUACCAUCGGAUGUGCCCAGAUGGGAUUGGCUAGUAGGUGGGGUAACGGCUCACCUAGGCGACGAUCCCUAGCCGGUCUGAGGGGAUGACCAGCCACACUGGAACUGAGACACGGUCCGAACUCCUACGGGGGGCGGAGGAGGGGAAUAUUGCACAAGGGGCGCAAGCCUGAUGCAGCCAUGCGGCGUGUAUGAAGAAGGCCUUCGGGUUGUAAGGUACUUUCAGCGAGAAGGCGUUACUCGCAGAGGAAGCGCCGGCUAACUCCGUGCCAGCAGCCGCGGUAAUAC
rnacentral:rRNA from 1 species